AAUUCUGGACUCGUGAAUAAAUAUAUUUGAGUAAUUUGAAGCUGUUAAGAUUGUUUAUAUAUCGAGAAAGCUAUAUUAAAAUUUUAUUGACUAUUCUAGUAGUUGACAGUUCUGCAUUUUCCCACAUUUAGGAAAGUUCCUUUACUUGCACUUCUUGUUUGACUGAAAUGUUACUGUCAGAGUCAUUUACGAAACUUUUAAAGAUAUAAAUGAUGUCUAAAUAUUCGUGCCAGUAACAUAGAGGGAUGAUGCCGAGAAUCUGCAAUCUCUCCUUAAUCCUUAUAUACGAGAUAUCUGUUUGGUAUGGCAGAGAUAGGAUGAACUUAAUGGCACGAUGCUGAACACGUUCGGUGGUUAGAGUCAGGGACGAAACUUGAGGGGGGCAUGGGGGGGGGGGUGACACCCCCCAAAGUACGAAUCAUUUGGAUUGGCAGGGCGAAUCAUCUGGAUUGGCAGGGAAAUCAAAGAUUUUAA